UUUCUUUACACCAACGAUAACGAUUAGAAAAGAUUUUUCAAGGAUCUAUAUGGAGCUAAAAUAGGAGUGAUUUUGCAAUACGAAUUCUUGGGCGCCAAGUAUUCUUGCUAUUAAAGUUAAGUCAACAUGCUAGUUUAUGAAGAAGAUCAAGAGAAGAAGAAAGGCUCUCUCUCUCUCUCUCUCUCUCUCUCUCUCUCUCUCUCUCUCUCUCUCUCUCUCAACACAUCUAAACACUUACACAUAUGUCAAACAUAUAUGUUCAAAGAUCCCUACAGAUUUCUAAGAUCUCCAAUUGACAACUCAUGGGAAACUUUCCACAUAAUUUUCACACCCUAAAGGUUUAGGGUGAUUUUCAAUAUGGGUCAUAGGGUUCAAUUUCAUCAAUUUACACCACCAACAUCAUUAAAAGUGACCAAUUUCAACCCUUCGUUAAGUUGACCGUAUGGUCAGACAUUAACUGAUGACGUAAAUACUGUGGGACCCACCUCAUAAAUUGACUGACCACUUACACUAAGUAUACCUCCUUAAAAAAAAAAAAAAAUCUUAAAAUCCAUUAUAUUAAAUUAUAACAUAAGAUAAAAAUUAAACAACAUGUUAAAAAUUAUUUGAAAAUAAAUAUUCAUACCCAAUCGCACCAUCGCAACCCCUGUCCCAUUCCCAAGAUGCAGCCCCACCCGACAUUCCCCACUUCCUCUCUUAUUGUAUCUAUGCUCUCUCUCAACCCCAUCUCUCACUAUUCAGUGGCAUUGCCAAACCAUCUCACCUUCAAAAAACAAUCCAUUUAUCCAUCCAAUUCAUCAUCCAAACAGAGAAGAAAGGAAAAUAGAAUAACCAAAACAACCAACCAUAACACCCAACAUCAAAUACCCAAUCUCUCUUUCCCUCUUUGAAAAUAUGAUCAAGCCACCCAUAGCUUCUAAAAAACUAACUCUUUCUCGGUGAAACUGACUGCACCACCAUCAUUCAUCAGUCUAAUCUCACAACAACACAACCACCUACAAAAGCUGAGAAAAGCCAUCUUGAACGGAGUCAUAGAUGUAAUCUCCC
rnacentral:lncRNA from 1 species